rnacentral:rRNA from 1 species
GCCGAAGACGGCCGGUCCGCCCUCUGGGUGUGUACCUGGUUCGGCUUGGGCAUUCUUCUGGAGAACGUUACUGUACUUGAGUGUGCGGUGCGGUAUCCAGGACUUUUACUUUGAGAAAAUUAGAGUGUUUCAAGCAGGCAUUUGCCUUGAAUACUCCAGCAUGGAAUAAUAAGAUAGGACUUCGGUCCUAACUUGUUGGUUUCUAGGACUGAAGUA